rnacentral:rRNA from 1 species
AUUGAACGCUGGCGGCAGGCCUAACACAUGCAAGUCGAACGGUAACAGGAAGAAGCUUGCUUCUUUGCUGACGAGUGGCGGACGGGUGAGUAAUGUCUGGGAAACUGCCUGAUGGAGGGGGAUAACUACUGGAAACGGUAGCUAAUACCGCAUAACGUCGCAAGACCAAAGAGGGGGACCUUCGGGCCUCUUGCCAUCGGAUGUGCCCAGAUGGGAUUAGCUAGUAGGUGGGGUAACGGCUCACUUAGGCGACGAUCCCUAGCUGGUCUGAGAGGAUGACCAGCCACACUGGAACUGAGACACGGUCCAGACUCCUACGGGAGGCAGCAGUGGGGAAUAUUGCACAAUGGGCGCAAGCCUGAUGCAGCCAUGCCGCGUGUAUGAAGAAGGCCUUCGGGUUGGAAAGUACUUUCAGCGGGGAGGAAGGGAGUAAAGUUAAUACCUUUUCUCAUUGACGUUACCCGCAGAAGAAGCACCGGCUAACUCCGUG